rnacentral:misc_RNA from 1 species
GUUAAACUGCGUUUACCUUAAACAGGCUUACUGUGUUCACUGCUGGACGCCUCUGGGCAAUCUUACCCUCCUGGGAACUGAGAGAGACAAUGCUAGGAGCCAGAAACAUGAGGAAUACAUGAGCUCGGCGCCAAUGGAACAUGCUUUCACACCGGGUGCAGCUAACCACCACAUCAUACAAAACUCGUCGCUGACGUUUUAGAUGUAUAAUCUGAUUGGCAUGGACUCACAGAGGAGGGAGUAAGGGAAGAGUAAGAAGAUUUCAAAGGAGAGACACAGGUUGCAGGUUAGCAGGAGAACAGGCAAGCCAAAUGCAAAGGAGCCACUUCAGAAAUGUGUCACAGAAAAGUGAAAAUGCAACCUAGUGGUAAGUGAAGAGGGGAAGAAGAAAGAAAAAGGACCAGAACCGUGAACUGAAGGGACAGGGAACAGCCAGACGAGAGCUUCAGCCAUCACGAGGAUGAUUUCGGAACCUGGAGAAAAUGUGUUCCUGGCUCUAUGCCAAAUGCAUCCUGGACUGGAAACCUCAGAGCUAUAAAGUGGAGUGACAUGGAAGACAGACACGGAGGCUGCCACGGCCACUAUGUACAUGGUAUUUGUAUCUAUGGAAACGGAGACUUAAAGUGGCUGGUUAAUUCACCAAGCCUGUUUGCUAACAAGUUUGAGCUUAAUACCUACCCCCUUACUGUGGAAUGCCUAGAACUGAGGCAUCGCGAAAGAACCCUCAAUCAGAGUGAAACUGCGAUACAACCCAGCUGGUAUUUUUGAGCUAUUCAUGAGCUACUCAUGACUGAAGGGAAACUGCAGCUGGGAAGAGGAGCCUGUUUUUGUGAGAGACUUUUGCCUUCGUAAUGUUAACCGUUUCAGGACCACGUUUAUAGCUUCAGGACCUGGCUACGUAAUUAUACUUAAAAUAUCCACUGGACACUGUGAAAUACACUAACAGGAUGGCUGGGUAGAGCAAUCUGGGCACUUUGGCCAAUUUUAGUCUUGCUGUUUCUUGAUGCUCACCUCUAUAUUAGUUUAUUGUUAGGAUCAAUGAUAAAUUUAAAUGACCUCAGAUCUUUGCACCAGAUACUCAUCAUAUACAAAUGUUUUAGUAAAAAAG